GUGGGGAAUAUUGCGCAAUGGGCGAAAGCCUGACGCAGCGACGCCGCGUGGGGGAUGACGGCCUUCGGGUUGUAAACCUCUUUCAGCAGGGACGAAGUUGACGUGUACCUGCAGAAGAAGCGCCGGCUAACUACGUGCCAGCAGCCGCGGUAAUACGUAGGGCGCAAGCGUUGUCCGGAAUUAUUGGGCGUAAAGAGCUCGUAGGUGGCUUGUCACGUCGGGUGUGAAAGCUUGGGGCUUAACUCCAGGUCUGCAUUCGAUACGGGCUGGCUAGAGGUAGGUAGGGGAGAACGGAAUUCCUGGUGUAGCGGUGAAAUGCGCAGAUAUCAGGAGGAACACCGGUGGCGAAGGCGGUUCUCUGGGCCUUACCUGACGCUGAGGAGCGAAAGCGUGGGGAGCGAACAGGAUUAGAAACCCGGGUAGUCC
rnacentral:rRNA from 1 species